CAUCAAUUUUUUACCCUAGCUCAUCACAUGGAUCAUCUUCUACUGCAUCCUAUUGUGCUCAAUCAGAGGCAAUGGAGGAAGAGAUUCAACAAUUGCAUCAGACUAUUGCAACGCUCAAGGAUAGUUUGGUUGCAAUGGAGGAGAGAGAUCGACAACGCGAGUUGAUGCUGGAGGAGAGAUAUAGACAACGUGAGCAGACAUUGGAGGAGCGCAUGCAACAAAUGAUGCAAAACAUGAUGGCACAAAUG
rnacentral:misc_RNA from 1 species